rnacentral:rRNA from 1 species
UGUGGUUUAAUUCGAUGCAACGCGAGAACCUUACCUGGUCUUGACAUCCCGGAGACCCUUAGGAAACUAGGGGUGCUUCCAUCUGGAGAAUCUGGAGACAGGUGCUGCAUGGCUGUCGUCAGCUCGUGUCGUGAGAUGUUGGGUUAAGUCCCGCAACGAGCGCAACCCUUGCCUUUAGUUGCCAGCAGUUCGGCUGGGCACUCUAAAGGGACUGCCGGUGUUAAACCGGAGGAAGGUGGGGAUGACGUCAAGUCCUCAUGGCCUUUAUGACCAGGGCUACACACGUACUACAAUGGCCGAUACAAAGGGCAGCGACACUGCGAGGUGAAGCCAAUCCCGUAAAAUCGGUCUCAGUCCGGAUUGGAGUCUGCAACUCGACUCCAUGAAGUUGGAAUCGCUAGUAAUCGUGGAUCAGCAUGCCACGGUGAAUACGUUCCCGGGCCUU